UACGUAGGGUGCAAGCGUUUAAUCGGAAUUACUGGGCGUAAAGCGUGCGCAGGCGGUUGUGUAAGACAGAUGUGAAAUCCCCGGGCUCAACCUGGGAACUGCAUUUGUGACUGCACAGCUGGAGUGCGGCAGAGGGGGAUGGAAUUCCGCGUGUAGCAGUGAAAUGCGUAGAUAUGCGGAGGAACACCGAUGGCGAAGGCAAUCCCCUGGGCCUGCACUGACGCUCAUGCACGAAAGCGUGGGGAGCAAACAGG
rnacentral:rRNA from 1 species